AACGAACGCUGGCGGCGUGCCUAACACAUGCAAGUCGAGCGGGAAAGUUCCCUUCGGGGAGCAAGUACAGCGGCGAACGGGUGAGUAACACGUAGGUAACCUACCCUGGAGACUGGGAUAACUUGCCGAAAGGCGGGCUAAUACCCAGAUAAGACCACGGGGGCUGAGGCUCCCGCGGCAAAAGGUGGCCUCUGCUUGCAUGCUACUACUCCGGGAUGGGCCUGCGCGCCAUUAGCAGUUGGUGAGGUAACGGCUCACCAAGGCAGAGAUGGCUAGCUGGUCUGAGAGGAUGGCCAGCCACACUGGGACU
rnacentral:rRNA from 1 species